ACAAAAACAUGUCUCUUUGAUUAAUAUAUAUAAUGAGUUUGACCUGCCCGGUGAAUAUUUUAACGGCCGCAGUACUUUGACUGUGCAAAGGUAGCAUAAUUAUUUGCCUUAUAAUUGAAGGCUUGUAUGAAUGGUUUGACGAAAAUGAAACUGUCUCAAUUUGAUUUUUUUAGAAUUUAACUUUUAAGUGAAGAGGCUUUUAUAUUAUUGAUAGACAAGAAGACCCUGUCGAGCUUGAGUUUUAUAUAUAAAUGGGUAUUUUUUAUAUUAUUUGUAGAUUUUAGUUGGGGUGACUAAGGAAUAUAAUGAGUUUCCUUAUAUGUUUGUAGAUUUACUGGUUUUGAUCCAUUAAUUAAAUAAUGAUCGAUGGAAUAGUUACCGCAGGGAUAACAGCAUAAUCUUUUUUGAGAGUUCGUAUCGAAAAAUUGGUUUGUGACCUCGAUGUUGGAUUAAAAUUUCCUAAGGGUGUAGAAGUUUUUAAGGGUUAGUCUGUUCGACUAUUAAAAUUUUACAUGAGCUGAG
rnacentral:rRNA from 1 species